rnacentral:rRNA from 1 species
UACGUAGGCAGCGAGCGUUGUUCGGAGUUACUGGGCGUAAAGAGUGCGUAGGCGGUUUUCUAAGUUUGGUGUGAAAUCUCCCGGCUUAACUGGGAGGGUGCGCCGAAAACUGGAAGGCUUGAGUAUGGGAGAGGUAAGCGGAAUUCCUGGUGUAGCGGUGAAAUGCGUAGAUAUCCGGAGGAACACCGGUGGCGAAGGCGGCUCCUGGACCGACACUGACGCUGAGGCGCGAAAGCUAGGGGAGCAAACGGG